rnacentral:rRNA from 1 species
CUGCUUUUGUACGGAACGAAAAGGUUUGGCCUAAUAAGCUGAGCUCAUGACGGUACCGUAAGAAUAAGCACCGGCUAACUACGUGCCAGCAGCCGCGGUAAUACGUAGGGUGCGAGCGUUAAUCGGAAUUACUGGGCGUAAAGCGUGCGCAGGCGGUUAUGUAAGACAGAUGUGAAAUCCCCGGGCUCAACCUGGGAACUGCAUUAGUGACUGCAUAGCUGGAGUACGGCAGAGGGGGAUGGAAUUCCGCGUGUAGCAGUGAAAUGCGUAGAUAUGCGGAGGAACACCGAUGGCGAAGGCAAUCCCCUGGGCCUGUACUGACGCUCAUGCACGAAAGCGUGGGGAGCAAACAGGAUUAGAUACCCUGGUAGUCCACGCCCUAAA